rnacentral:rRNA from 1 species
GACGAACGUUGGCGGCGUGCUUAACACAUGCAAGUCGAACGGAAAGGCCCUGCUUUUGUGGGGUGCUCGAGUGGCGAACGGGUGAGUAACACGUGAGUAACCUGCCCUUGACUUUGGGAUAACUUCAGGAAACUGGGGCUAAUACCGGAUAGGAGCUCCUGCUGCAUGGUGGGGGUUGGAAAGUUUCGGCGGUUGGGGAUGGACUCGCGGCUUAUCAGCUUGUUGGUGGGGUAGUGGCUUACCAAGGCUUUGACGGGUAGCCGGCCUGAGAGGGUGACCGGCCACAUUGGGACUGAGAUACGGCCCAGACUCCUACGGGAGGCAGCAGUGGGGAAUAUUGCACAAUGGGCGGAAGCCUGAUGCAGCAACGCCGCGUGCGGGAUGACGGCCUUCGGGUUGUAAACCGCUUUCGCCUGUGACGAAGCGUGAGUGACGGUAAUGGGUAAAGAAGCACCGGCUAACUACGUGCCAGCAGCCGCGGUGAUACGUAGGGUGCGAGCGUUGUCCGGAUUUAUUGGGCGUAAAGGGCUCGUAGGUGGUUGAUCGCGUCGGAAGUGUAAUCUUGGGGCUUAACCCUGAGCGUGCUUUCGAUACGGGUUGACUUGAGGAAGGUAGGGGAGAAUGGAAUUCCUGGUGGAGCGGUGGAAUGCGCAGAUAUCAGGAGGAACACCAGUGGCGAAGGCGGUUCUCUGGGCCUUUCCUGACGCUGAGGAGCGAAAGCGUGGGGAGCGAACAGGCUUAGAUACCCUGGUAGUCCACGCUGUAAACGGUGGGUACUAGGUGUGGGGUCCAUUCCACGGGUUCCGUGCCGUAGCUAACGCUUUAAGUACCCCGCCUGGGGAGUACGGCCGCAAGGCUAAAACUCAAAGGAAUUGACGGGGCCCCGCACAAGCGGCGGAGCAUGCGGAUUAAUUCGAUGCAACGCGUAGAACCUUACCUGGGUUUGACAUGGAUCGGGAGCGCUCAGAGAUGGGUGUGCCUCUUUUGGGGUCGGUUCACAGGUGGUGCAUGGCUGUCGUCAGCUCGUGUCGUGAGAUGUUGGGUUAAGUCCCGCAACGAGCGCAACCCUUGUUCACUGUUGCCAGCACGUUAUGGUGGGGACUCAGUGGAGACCGCCGGGGUCAACUCGGAGGAAGGUGGGGAUGACGUCAAGUCAUCAUGCCCCUUAUGUCCAGGGCUUCACGCAUGCUACAAUGGCUGGUACAGAGAGUGGCGAGCCUGUGAGGGUGAGCGAAUCUCGGAAAGCCGGUCUCAGUUCGGAUUGGGGUCUGCAACUCGACCUCAUGAAGUCGGAGUCGCUAGUAGUCGCAGAUCAGCAACGCUGCGGUGAAUAAGUUCCCGGGGCU